UACGUAGGGUGCGAGCGUUGUCCGGAUUUAUUGGGCGUAAAGAGCUCGUAGGCGGUCUGUCGCGUCGGCUGUGAAAACCCGGGGCUCAACCCCGGGCCUGCAGUCGAUACGGGCAGACUAGAGUGCGGUAGGGGAGACUGGAAUUCCUGGUGUAGCGGUGAAAUGCGCAGAUAUCAGGAGGAACACCGGUGGCGAAGGCGGGUCUCUGGGCCGAUACUGACGCUGAGGAGCGAAAGCGUGGGGAGCGAACAGG
rnacentral:rRNA from 1 species